rnacentral:rRNA from 1 species
UACGGUGGGGGCAAGCGUUGUUCGGAAUUACUGGGCGUAAAGGGCUUGUAGGCGGCCAACUAAGUCAGACGUGAAAUCCCUCGGCUUAACCGGGGAACUGCGUCUGAUACUGGAUGGCUAGAGAUUGGGAGAGGGAUGCGGAAUUCCAGGUGUAGCGGUGAAAUGCGUAGAUAUCUGGAGGAACACCGGUGGCGAAGGCGGCAUCCUGGACCAACACUGACGCUGAGGAGCGAAAGCCAGGGGAGCAAACGGG